GAUGAACGCUGGCGGCGUGCCUAAUACAUGCAAGUCGAGCGAACGGACGAGAAGCUUGCUUUUCUGAUGUUAGCGGCGGACGGGUGAGUAACACGUGGAUAACCUACCUAUAAGACUGGGAUAACUUCGGGAAACCGGAGCUAAUACCGGAUAAUAUUUUGAACCGCAUGGUUCAAAAGUGAAAGACGGUCUUGCUGUCACUUAUAGAUGGAUCCGCGCUGCAUUAGCUAGUUGGUAAGGUAACGGCUUACCAAGGCAACGAUGCAUAGCAGACCUGAGAGGGUGAUCGGCCACACUGGAACUGAGACACGGUCCAGACUCCUACGGGAGGCAGCAGUAGGGAAUCUUCCGCAAUGGGCGAAAGCCUGACGGAGCAACGCCGCGUGAGUGAUGAAGGUCUUCGGAUCGUAAAACUCUGUUAUUAGGGAAGAACAGAUGUGUAAGUAACUGUGCACAUCUUGACGGUACCUAAUCAGAAAGCCACGGCUAACUACGUG
rnacentral:rRNA from 1 species